AUUGAACGCUGGCGGCAUGCCUAACACAUGCAAGUCGAGCGCGCGGCGGAAGGGUGAGUAAUGUAUGGGGACUGCCUGAUAGAGGGGGAUAACUACUGGAAACGGUGGUUAAUACAGCAUACUAUCGGAUAACCCAUAGUGGAUUAGCUAGUAGGUGGGGUAAAGGCGCCACUAGGCGACGAUUUCUAGGUGGUCUGAGAGGAUGAUUGGCCACAGUGGGACUGAGACACGGCCCAGACUCCUACGGAGGCAGCAGUGGGGAAUAUUGCACAAUGGGCGCAAGCCUGAUGCAGCCAUGCCGCGUGUAUGAAGAAGGCCUUAGGGUUGUAAAGUACUUUCAGCGGGGAGGCGUUACCCUCAGAAGAAGCACCUGCUAACUCCGUGCCAGCAGCCGCGGUAAUAC
rnacentral:rRNA from 1 species